AACGAACGCUGGCGGCAUGCCUAACACAUGCAAGUCGAACGAGACCUUCGGGUCUAGUGGCGCACGGGUGCGUAACGCGUGGGAACCUGCCCUUAGGUUCGGAAUAACUCCCCGAAAGGGGUGCUAAUACCGGAUAAUGUCUUCGGACCAAAGAUUUAUCGCCUUUGGAUGGGCCCGCGUUGGAUUAGCUAGUUGGUAGGGUAAAAGCCUACCAAGGCGACGAUCCAUAGCUGGUCUGAGAGGAUGAUCAGCCACACUGGGACUGAGACACGGCCCAGACUCCUACGGGAGGCAGCAGUGGGGAAUAUUGGACAAUGGGCGAAAGCCUGAUCCAGCAAUGCCGCGUGAGUGAUGAAGGCCUUAGGGUUGUAAAGCUCUUUUACACGGGAUGAUAAUGACAGUACCGGGAGAAUAAGCGCCGGCUAACUCCGUG
rnacentral:rRNA from 1 species